rnacentral:lncRNA from 1 species
CCACCCCUGCUGCGAGAGCCACCCCUGCUGCGAGAGCCACGGGGGCACUGUGACAUGUUAACGUCCAGGGAAGACCAGGAGAACUUGUUCAGACUCCUACGGCUCUAGACUCUAAGUGUGAAAAUAAAGCAGCAGGUCUAAAUAUAAUCCUGUGCUCGAAGCUAAGCAAAGGCCAGAGAGCGCUAGUUUUAACUCUGUUAAAAUACAAGAAAUGGCUGCAUCAGACAAGGAUGGAUCAUCUCCAGAAGACAUGGGUCAAAUUCUCUACCAAAUUCCUGAUAAUCUAAGGAGCCUUCCGCUGCACCAUUGUGGCUCAGUAGAAAUGCUGUAGAGAGACAGGUUGGGAACACUUUAGCAGCCUGGACCUUCUCCUAAGCCCCAAGUAUAUGUAAGUAUUAUAUCUGCUCUCUCUCUCUUUAACUCACAUGAACAAAGACCAGGUACAAACUUACUAAAGUUCCAAGACAAGGGUUCCAUGGGCUGCUGCGGAUCUUCUAGAUUAUCA